rnacentral:rRNA from 1 species
AUGAUCAAUUCGACGGUAAGCCCCUCUCCCCACAGCCCAUCCCUAACCCUAACCCCAGCCCAAAUCCUAACUCCGCCGCCUCCCGCCCCAGAACCAGACCGUGGCACGGUGCUGAACUACAUUUUCCAGGCGGCCUCCGACGAUGAGCUCUCCAUCUUCAAGGAGCUGGUCACGAUAAUACUGGACAAUGGCAGGGGCCGCCCCAAGGAAGCGAUUGAGGAAUUGAGGGUGGAAGAUGUCGGGCAGCUUGAAGGUUUCAGUGCGCUGCACAUCGCGGCCAGUAAAGGGAGUCUGGAGGUGUGCAGGUACCUCGUCGAGGAGCUGCUGGUAGAUGUGGAUCUGGUCGACAAGGAAGGUAGAACACCUCUGUUGUUUGCAACAUACCACAAUGGGGGUACUGCCGAAUAUCUUCUUGAUCAUGGCGCUAAUCAAGACAAAGCUGAUCACGAUGGGUCUACCCUGUUACAUUAUGCCGCUGAAUUAGGCAAUUGUGAAAUGGUAGAGCUUUUGCUUGCAAAAGGAGCUUAUGUUGAGCCGGUAUCUGCUUGUGGAACACCACUUCAUGUUGCUGCUGGUAAAGGGCAUUAUGGUGCUAUGAAGAUUUUACUGGACCACAAUGCAGAUUACAACAAGAUGGUAAAUGGCGUGACACCUCUUAUUGUUGCUACAGAUGCCAAGUCAAUGAAAUGUAUCAAGCUCCUAGUUAAGGCUGGUGCCAAUCUCAAGGAAGCUGCAGCAUAUACAACUCUCCACGCGGAAAAAGUGGUUUCAGAUUACUUUCUCAAUUGCAUAAUGGAGGACGUUGAUGCCAACCGUGAUGUUCCUUUUGAUGGGCCUAUGCUUAAACGGGAAAUCGUGACAUCAGGGCUUAUAUCACGAGGGAGCAACUCUUUAAAGAACAAGGAUUAUGUUGUCGCAGCAAAAUUGUACAGUAAGGCAAUGGUGCUUGAUCCUGAUGAUGCAGUCUUGUUCUCAGACAGGAGCCUUUGUUGGCUUCAACUGGGUGAUGGAAAAAAGGCUUUGCUAGAUGCUAAUAGAUGCAGAAAAAUGCGGCCUCACUGGCCAAAAGCUUGUCACCGGCAGGGUGAAGCUCUGAUGCUACUGAAGGACUAUGAGGGCGCAAGUGAACGGUUCUGGGAUGGACUCAAGUUGGACCCAGUGGACACUGAUAUCGAGGAUGCAUUACGGGAAGCUAUGAAGUCCUUGAAGACGUCUCGGUCUCGGAGCAUGAGAGCCAAUUGA